rnacentral:lncRNA from 1 species
GGUUUUCGACUGGUGCUGAAAUAGGUCAUGAAAGAAUGCUCGAGCUGCCCGAAAGAGUGGAUACCUUUUGAGCGGAGGCCGGAGUACCAGGCCCUGGCAGCUUUACGAAGUGUGGCGGGGAAGCCGAUGCAGAAGAGGACAUCGGUUGCCCCUUGAAUUGUCAUGAGAGCCUUGUAGCUCUCCAGAUGGUCAACUGGGUCGGUGGAGCCGUCGUAAGGCUCCACAUGAGGUAUCUUGAACCGACUAGGGAUUGGUUCGUCGAGGAUGAAUCGAG